rnacentral:rRNA from 1 species
UACGUAGGGGGCAAGCGUUGUCCGGAAUCAUUGGGCGUAAAGCGCGUGUAGGCGGCCCGAUAAGUCCGCUGUGAAAGUCCAGGGCUCAACCCUGGGAUGCCGGUGGAUACUGUCGGGCUCGAGUCCGGAAGAGGCGAGUGGAAUUCCUGGUGUAGCGGUGAAAUGCGCAGAUGUCAGGAGGAACACCAAUGGCGAAGGCAGCUCGCUGGGACGUGACUGACGCUGAGACGCGAAAGCGUGGGGAGCAAACAGG